AGCGAACGCUGGCGGCAGGCUUAACACAUGCAAGUCGAGCGGGCACUUCGGUGUCAGCGGCAGACGUGUGAGUAACACGUGGGAACGUACCCUUUGGUUCGGAAUAACGCUGGGAAACUAGCGCUAAUACCGGAUACGCCCUUUUGGGGAAAGGCUUGCUUCCGAAGGAUCGGCCCGCGUCUGAUUAGCGAGUUGGUGGGGUAAUGGCCUACUAAGGCGACGAUCAGUAGCUGGUCUGAGAGGAUGAUCAUCCACACUGGGAAUGAGACACGGCCCAGACUCCUACGGGAGGGAGCAGUGGGGAAUAUUGGACAAUGGGCGCAAGCCUGAUCCAGCCAUGCCGCGUGAGUGAUGAAGGCCUUAGGGUUGUAAAGCUCUUUUGUCCGGGACGAUAAUGACGGUACCGGAAGAAUAAGCCCCGGCUAACUUCGUG
rnacentral:rRNA from 1 species